rnacentral:tRNA from 2 species
GGGCUAUUAGCUCAGUGGUAGAGCGCGCCCCUGAUAAUUGCGCGAGGUCUCUGGUUCAAGUCCAGGAUGGCCCA